AACCUUUACAAUGCACGCAAGUGUGAUAAGGGAAUCCAGAGUGCUCAAGUUUUCUUGGGCUUUUGCCAAGAGUAAAUAUCUUGGCGAAUAAGUGGUGGGAAAGACUGGUGCCAGCCGCCGCGGUAACACCAGCGCCACAAGUGGGGAUCCUGUUUAUUUGGCCUAAAGCGUUCGUAGCUGGCUCUGUAAAUCUUUUGUGAAAUCGUUUGGCUCAACCAAACGGCGUGCAGAAGAGACUGCAAAGCUAGGGACUGGGAGGAGUUAGAGGUAUGCUGUGGGGAGCGGUAAAAUGCUAUAAUCCUCAGUGGACCACCUGUGGCGAAGGCGUCUAACUAGAACAGGUCCGACAGUGAGGGACGAAAGCCAGGGGAGCAAACCGG
rnacentral:rRNA from 1 species